rnacentral:rRNA from 1 species
GUCUAUAUGAAGGUGUAUAUAGUUUGGCCUGCUCACUGAUUAUAUUAAAGAGCCGCAGUAUUUUGACUGUGCGAAGGUAGCAUAAUAAAUUGUCUUUUAAAUGGAGGCUUGAAUGAAAGGUUGGACAAAGUAUCAUCUGUUUCUUAAAUAUUUAUUGAAUUUGACUUUCAAGUGAAAAGGCUUGAAUAAAUUAAAAAGACGAUAAGACCCUAUAAAUCUUUACAAUAAACAUAUUUUAUAUUUUUAUUUAUUAAGUGAAUGAAAUAUUAAAUUUGUAGUUGUUUCGCUGGGGCGGCGUAGAUAUAUAAAUGAACUGUCUAUAAUUUUAAUACAAUAAUUAUUGAUUAAUGAAAUUGAUCCUUAAAUAGAUUAAAAGAUUAAGAUACUUUAGGGAUAACAGCGUUAUUUUUUCUGAGAGUUCUUAUCGAAGAAAAAGUUUGCGACCUCGAUGUUGAAUUAAAGUAUCUUUAUGGUGCAGUCGCUAUAAGAGAGAGUCUGUUCGACUUUUAAUACUUUACAUGAUUUGAGUUCAGACCGGCGUGAG